rnacentral:rRNA from 1 species
ACGGAAGGCAGCAGUGGGGGAUAUUGCACAAUGGGGGAAACCCUGAUCCAGCGACGCCGCGUGAGUGAAGAAGUAUUUCGGUAUGUAAAGCUCUAUCAGCAAGGAAGAAAAUGACGGUACUUGACUAAGAAGCUCCGGCUAAAUACGUGCCAGCAGCCGCGGUAAUACGUAUGGAGCAAGCGUUAUCCGGAUUUACUGGGUGUAAAGGGAGCGUAGACGGCAAAGCAAGUCUGAAGUGAAAUCCCGGGGCUCAACCCCGGAACUGCUUUGGAAACUGUUUAGCUAGAGUGCAGGAGAGGUAAGCGGAAUUCCUAGUGUAGCGGUGAAAUGCAUAGAUAUUAGGAGGAACACCAGUGGCGAAGGCGGCUUACUGGACUGUAACUGACGUUGAGGCUCGAAAGCGUGGGGAGCAAACAGGAUUAGAUACCCUGGUA